rnacentral:rRNA from 1 species
GUAUUAAAGGUGUUGCCUGCCCAGUGAAACAUUUUUCAACGGCCGCGGUAUCCUAACCGUGCAAAGGUAGCGUAAUCACUUGUCUUUUAAAUAAAGACUCGUAUGAAAGGCUAAAUGAAGACGAAACUGUCUCUUAUAGUUGACCAGUAAAACUGAUCUCCAAGUCCAAAAGCUUGGAUAAAUACAUAAGACGAGAAGACCCUGUGGAGCUUAAAACUAACGCUAUAACAACAAAUAGCAUAAGUUUUAAGUUGGGGCGACUUCGGAACAAAAUAAAACUUCCGAGCACAGAGCCAACCACUCCCACCUAGACCAACAAGUCAAAGACCAACAAUGACCCAGUCAUACUGAGCAACGAACCAAGUUACCCCAGGGAUAACAGCGCCAUCUUCUUCAAGAGUUCAUAUCGACAAGAAGGUUUACGACCUCGAUGUUGGAUCAGGACACCCAAAUGGUGCAGCAG